GUAGUCCACGCCCUAAACGAUGCGAACUGGAUGUUGGGUUCAACUUGGAACCCAGUAUCGAAGCUAACGCGUUAAGUUCGCCGCCUGGGGAGUACGGUCGCAAGACUGAAACUCAAAGGAAUUGACGGGGGCCCGCACAAGCGGUGGAGUAUGUGGUUUAAUUCGAUGCAACGCGAAGAACCUUACCUGGUCUUGACAUCCACGGAACUUUCCAGAGAUGGAUUGGUGCCUUCGGGAACCGUGAGACAGGUGCUGCAUGGCUGUCGUCAGCUCGUGUCGUGAGAUGUUGGGUUAAGUCCCGCAACGAGCGCAACCCUUGUCCUUAGUUGCCAGCACGUAAUGGUGGGAAC
rnacentral:rRNA from 1 species